AGAGCACAGAGGGGAGCAUGCUUGCUGAAAACAAAGUAGACUUCAACAACGUACACCAAGUAUGGAGGAGAGGAGGCAGUCCUGUCAAGGGUCCCCUUGUUCUGUAGCUGGUAGCACUGACAAUGAUAACUUCCAUAGACCUGCUUCAUGUACAGCCACCAGAGUGAUAUUGAGUGCAAGAUUCAGAAUUGCCCACGUCCUGCUCCAAUCAAGUCAAACUCUAC
rnacentral:lncRNA from 1 species